rnacentral:rRNA from 1 species
AUGGACCCUUCCAUCCCUUUUUCCCGUGCAUAUGCAUCGGACUCGGAUGACGAUGGUCCCGAUGAACAAGUUGAUGCGGAGGGGUUCACGGUGAAGGAGGGCGAAGCUUUCGAGAAGGUAUUUGGUCGGGAUCAUCAGACUACAUUGUUCAAGGAUGUUAGUCUCGCGGAUGAAGCCGUGUUAGAUGGUGGCCAAUGUGUACCUCUUGGGGUUAGGCCAAGCUCUUAUUGUGAUUUGGGAGAUGACAAGAACCGCAUUGCUAAAGGUUCUAAGUUCGACACCUUCUUGGAAUUGAAGAUGUGGCUCGACAACUACUCGGUUAUGCAUUAUCGUCCACAUAAGGUGGUGCACUCGGACGUCAAAGUGCGCUACACGGUUGCAUGUGCAUGUGAAGAUGAAAUAUGUCCAUGGAUUGUGCGUGCAAGACCAUGGAAAGGAGGUCCCACUUGGCACGUAGUGAGUUGUGUGCCAACUCACAUGUGCCAAGGCAAAAGGGUGGAUGGCAAGAUUGUGUCCCAAAACCACAAACAACUCACGUCCGAGUUCAUCGCUUACAGGCUCUCCAACUCAAUAUCCACACUUCCAACAAUGAGCGUCCAACAUGUCAUUGACCUUGUGAAAGCCAUCUUUCACUACAAGGUGAAGUACAGCAAGGCAUGGAAGGCGAAGCAAGCCGCAUUUAAGAUGUUGUAUGGUACUUGGGAGGAAGCAUACAACCGAAUCCCUAGGUUGUUGUUAGCCAUGGCCGCGACAAACCCGGGCAUGGUUCAUGUGGUCGAGCCUCAUGGGCACCAAACAACGGUUCAUGAAGGAAGGAAAGUCAGAGUAUUUGGCCAUGCUUUUUGGGCGUUCGAGCAAUGUGUGAGGGCUUUCGAACAUUGUAGGCCGGUCAUCGCAAUUGAUGGCACGUUCUUGACCGGACAAUACAAGGGCACCUUGUUGGUUGCGAUAGCAAGUGAUGCCAAUAACCGGGUGUUGCCAUUGGCAUUUGCUUUGGUUGAGGUGGAAAACAAUGUCAACUGGGAGUGGUUUCUGCAUCUUUUGAGGAUGAAGUCCUGUCUCCCUAACAUACGGCGUGUACCGCUCAUCAUAGCGCAUCCACCCAAGGUUGACCCCGUGAGCCCGAAGCUUCAGAGGUGCAAGCUCCUACAAGCAAACAAACAAAUCAUUACAUAUGGGGGCAUGUGUUUGGAAAAAAACAUGAAAUUCAUAACACCGACAACUUUCAUUAUUACCUGCUGCUUCACCAACAUAACGUACGACCGGUGUUGUAGAUCCCAAUGA